rnacentral:rRNA from 1 species
GAUGAACGCUGGCGGCGUGCCUAAUACAUGCAAGUCGAGCGAACGGACGAGAAGCUUGCUUCUCUGAUGUUAGCGGCGGACGGGUGAGUAACACGUGGAUAACCUACCUAUAAGACUGGGAUAACUUCGGGAAACCGGAGCUAAUACCGGAUAAUAUUUUGAACCGCAUGGUUCAAAAGUGAAAGACGGUCUUGCUGUCACUUAUAGAUGGAUCCGCGCUGCAUUAGCUAGUUGGUAAGGUAACGGCUUACCAAGGCAACGAUGCACAGCCGACCUGAGAGGGGGGAGGGCCACAGGGAAAGUGAGAAAGGGUCAAGACUCAGAGGGAAGGCAGAAGUAGGAAAGCUUCCGAAAGGGGGAAAGGCCGGAAGGAGAAACGCCGGGGGAGUAAGGAAGGUCUAGGAAUCGAAAAACUUUGUUAUGAGGGAAAAAAAUAGGGGAAAGAAACUGUGCAAAUCUGAAGGGAACAUAACAAAAAAGCCACGAAAAAAACCGGC